UGUGGAUACAGAAGACACGAUUAGUGCAGAUCAAGUACAUGGAAAGAAAAAGGAGGUGACAAUGCUGGGUGAUAACAGGGAUAGACAGCAGGAGGAGAAAAUCCAAGCUAUGUUAUCCAAAGAGCACUGUGACUUUGCCAAAGGGACAAAGGUGAGAAAACGCCUGUGUGGUCUUGAAAACUUGCUGUUGGCUUGUGGACAGAGCAACAAGAGGAGAGCUCCUGGAACUUCCCAUGCCUAAAGCCCCCGGAACAGGAGGAGCCAAGCCUGCAGAACUUUUAAGUUUUUUUUAAGAUACUGGAGACUAGAUGCUUCCAAUAAAAAAUACAAGCAUACAAGGAAAAUGUAUACAUUUCUUAUUGGUU
rnacentral:lncRNA from 1 species